rnacentral:rRNA from 1 species
AUUGAACGCUGGUGGCAUGCCUUACACAUGCAAGUCGAACGGCAGCACGGGAGCAAUCCUGGUGGCGAGUGGCGAACGGGUGAGUAAAGUAUCGGAACGUGCCCAGUCGUGGGGGAUAACGUAGCGAAAGUUACGCUAAUACCGCAUACGAUCUAUGGAUGAAAGCGGGGGAUCGCAAGACCUCGCGCGAUUGGAGCGGCCGAUAUCAGAUUAGGUAGUUGGUGGGGUAAAGGCUCACCAAGCCGACGAUCUGUAGCUGGUCUGAGAGGACGACCAGCCACACUGGGACUGAGACACGGCCCAGACUCCUACGGGAGGCAGCAGUGGGGAAUUUUGGACAAUGGGCGAAAGCCUGAUCCAGCCAUGCCGCGUGCAGGAUGAAGGCCUUCGGGUUGUAAACUGCUUUUGUACGGAACGAAAAGGUUUGGCCUAAUAAGCUGGGCUCAUGACGGUACCGUAAGAAUAAGCACCGGCUAACUACGUGCCAGCAGCCGCAGUAA